rnacentral:rRNA from 1 species
GUAACGCGUAUGCAACCUACCUAUCGAGAGGGGAACUAACCCGGCGAAAGUCGGACUAAUACCGCAUAAAACAGGGGCACCGCAUGGUGAUAUUUGUUAAAGAAAUUCGCUGAUAGAUGGGCAUGCGUUCCAUUAGGUAGUUGGUGAGGUAACGGCUCACCAAGCCGACGAUGGAUAGGGGAACUGAGAGGUUGGUCCCCCACACUGGUACUGAGACACGGACCAGACUCCUACGGGAGGCAGCAGUGAGGAAUAUUGGUCAAUGGGCGGGAGCCUGAACCAGCCAAGUCGCGUGAAGGAAAAGAAGGAUCUAUGGUUCGUAAACUUCUUUUGCAGGGGAAUAAAGUGCAGGACGUGUCCUGUUUUGUAUGUACCCUGAGAAUAAGGAUCGGCUAACUCCGUGCCAGCAGCAGC